rnacentral:rRNA from 1 species
GGGGAAUAUUGCACAAUGGGAGGGAAACUCUGAUGCAGCGACGCCGCGUGAGUGAAGAAGUAUUUCGGUAUGUAAAGCUCUAUCAGCAGGGAAGAAAAUGACGGUACCUGACUAAGAAGCACCGGCUAAAUACGUGCCAGCAGCCGCGGUAAUACGUAUGGUGCAAGCGUUAUCCGGAUUUACUGGGUGUAAAGGGAGCGUAGGUGGCAAGGCAAGCCAGAAGUGAAAACCCGGGGCUCAACCGCGGGAUUGCUUUUGGAACUGUCAUGCUAGAGUGCAGGAGGGGUGAGCGGAAUUCCUAGUGUAGCGGUGAAAUGCGUAGAUAUUAGGAGGAACACCGGAGGCGAAGGCGGCUCACUGGACUGUAACUGACACUGAGGCUCGAAAGCGUGG